UAUUUUGAGUUUUUCUGAAGUGAUUUUCAUUUUCAUCCGGGCAGCCAGUGAUAACUCCUGAAAACACGGAAAAAUGAAGGAGGCUGCGGGAACUGGAGAGCCGCAGGAAAAGCAGCUCACAGCUUUUCCUCAAGGGCUGUUCUCUGUUUUCAAAGACUAGUGACCUAUAAGCACUGUUUCCUCUGGGGAAAAAAAAAUUUACCAAUACAUCUCUCCACCAUUUUUACCCAUCUCCUUUACUUGGUCCUAUUUUUACUCGGCCAAAGAAAGUAAUCAUCUGCCUGUAUUAUAUACUCAGAUUUUCCCCUCAAUUACAAGCUUCAAGUAAAAAAAAAAGACAAAAAUGGAAAGUGUUGGAGCACUGUCUAGAAAGUAGAAACUAUUACAAUAAUAGUAGAAACGAAGAGCACUGGACUGACUUUUGGGAAACCUGGGACCUUUCUUUGCCACUAAUAUGCUAGUCAGAUGGCCCUAAUUUUCUGCCUCUAUUUCUCCAGUCAAAUACAGAUGUUACCGUAGGUGACCCCAGAUCUCGAAGACUGCUAUACUCUUAAGUUUCUUUGGGAAAAGACGGAAAAAUUUGUUUCAAGUAGAUCCCCCUGAGGUGCAUGGUUUACUAUUGAAUCCCUUCCCCAUUUUAAGCUGGGAAGAAGAGGUCUGAACAUACAUAUUCUCAUCCUAAAUCCCUUUAUCCUCUCAUAAUGCUCAAAGUGCAGUGCUGAUGCCUGGGAGGCUUUGUGUUCAGUUUGUACCAUUUGCACACACAGGAUUAGGGUGGAGUGAAAGCCAGAAUGGCUACAGGAUUUCUUGGACCUGGGAAUCUCACACUUCUCUCUCCGUUUUCACUCCAAUUAGCGCACAACUUUUAAAAGUUGGCGUAGACACAGCAACACUUUCACACAUCCGUCCUAAAAAUCCAUGCUAAUCUUCCCCAUGGGAUGCAAUUCAAUCGAAUUGACAUUCUAAUAAAAUGCUGGCGAAGACACAAUCACAGUUUGCCUGCAAUGGGUAAUUAAAAUAGCACUAUGCAGUUCCUUAAACCUCCGAUAAUGGCUUCUUAUAUAUAUUGUUAGUAAUGAGAUGUCAGAGGUUUUGUUCUUGGUUGUUAAUAGAACACUGUAAAGCUCCUCGGUUUAGCAUAGCAGGUUGUGAUCUCAGUUUGUCACUGUGAGGAAUGCACUAAAACUUUAAGUCGGCUUUCAGGUUGGUCUUGCGUAAUUGCUUAAUCAUCCAAACCUGCCUUCAAAUUUGCAUGUUUCUGGUCCUAACUGACCGAAUCCCCACUGCUAUUUUCGAAUCAUUGGCCCAGAUAGACGUUGGCUUGGAGGUGGUUUGAAUCUACUAUAUAUGGCAUUUGGGAAAUUAUAGCUAUGUUUUAAAAGAACUAAAGACAAGAGAACUUGCCUUGGAUAAUGAAAAUCAGAUUUUGCUGUUGUUUUUGUUCCAAAGUGUUUUAUACUGAUAAAGUCACCCUGAUUUAGCAGUGCCAUUGAUAACAGGCUACAGAAAUAGUAUACAGUUUGGGUUCCUGUAUUUUAUUUAAAGCUGCCUUUUAUUUUAUUUAAAAUUGAUACUUUUUAGUUUAUUAAUUAAUCUGCAGCACAUUGAAUAAUUCCACCACUGAUAGUUUCUAUUUUAUGGCCAAGAAGUUCUGAAACUUUCAUGGAGCUGGAGAGAGAGAGUAGGCCCCUUUAUGGAAACAUACAUGUUUUAUGGGAAGCUUGGGUAGUUAUUCCCUACCUGUAUUGUGAGCAUUUUUAGCUGUCCCCUUUUUAGCUAGAUGAACUCAGUCAUGAGGCACAACCUUUUUAACACGGUACAUUUGUGAUAUUAACAAUCUCUGACUUCAGGAACAGAGCACCUCAGAAAAUAGGGGGAAGCUUAUUAUUGGAGCUGGGAACGGUCAUAUCAUUUACUGGGGCUGGAGGCAUUCAAUCACCUUUGACGCACACAUGGACUGCAAAGCUGAGACAGGCCCCAGGGGUCCCAACCAGUGAGGUGGGGGAGGAUUGAAUCGGGAAACAUUUCUACCGGAAACAGGAAGCUUGUGUUUUCCUUUGAACAGAGCUGUGUAUUUAGGUAGACUGCUCCAGGGCAGAUGAAACAAGAUGGCACUCACCACCCAAGUCCAGGAACCAAACAGGAAAGAAUCCAGUGAGAACUGCUGAGACCCACCAGACCAAGAGUACAUUAAAUGUAAAUCCUGGUUCUCCAUAGCUGUUUUAAUUAGCCAAGAGAACUGCCUCAGUGAAUGGGAGCCAUCUCAACAGGUAGCUCAUCCACUCUGCAUCUUCAGCCCUAGUCAGUGACUGACUGGCAUGGGAGUAAAAAGGAGCAACCCCCUUUGUCUCAAGUACCAACCGUGGAAAAUUUACAGUAACUCCUCCAAAACAAAUAGAGUACUAUCUACAUACCUUGAAGUUGAAAGUUUACUUUCCUUAUUGAGAAGGGAAAAGAAGAAGAGGCAUGACUGUUUUGUUUUUGGAGAGCCAAGUUCCCUGGCGACUGUGCCAAGGUUCAUUUUGCCAAUUCCUCGUAACAUGGCAGGCCUUAUCUUGGCCUCUCAUUCUGAAAGUGUCCUGACUUUGGAAGCGACAAGGAUGUCAUUUGGGGAAGUACAGCCUUGAUCACUGACCUUGCAUUUUUGAAAAUGGUUUCCAGUGAAAGUGAUUAUGUUAUUUUGAAAUAGAAAAAGCUACACGUAUCACAUCAGCUUCUCAUCUGAUACUUACUGGAGAAAAGUUAUAAUGUACUACAAGCAUAAUACGUUCACAGUAAUUAUACAGGGCUUCAGGAUAACCUUAUUGUUGGGGGGAAAGUAGCAACUUUUUUUAUUUAAAAAAAUUUUUUUAAUGUUUAUUUAUUUUGAGGGAGAGAGAGAGAGAG